AUAUUGUACCAUACAAUCUUGUCUUGCACAUUACAUCACACUACAUCAUCCAACAAAGUCAAACAUACAAUCUUGUCUUGCAUAGUACAUUAUCCAACACAAGCUUACAUGAAUGUACACCAAGCAAUAUAUAGUAGUUUGUGUUUGAUAUAUAAUACUAAGGUUGGUGCACACAAUAGAAAAUGAAAAACCAAAAGCACGUCCACCAGGUUGUGGAGAACCAUUUUCCAUGAACUUAAGCCAAACACUUGUUGUGCCUAGCACUUCCUGAAAAAUAUAACAUGUAAUUAGGCAAGUGGAGAAAAUAAUAAAAAGUUGUUGUACAAUAGUAGUGUACUACUAGUGUGUGAGUACGAUCAUCUGUUAAAAAGAAUAUCUCUUCUACUUGCUAGCUAAAUUCUGCUUGCUAGGUUGAGUUGGAGAAAAUAAUAUAAAGCUAUUGUAUAAUAGUAGUGUACUACUGGUGUGUGAGUAGGAUCAUCUUUAAAAGAUUCUCUCUUCUACUUGCUAACUAAAUUCUGCUUGCUAGGUUGAGUCACUUGCUAGGUUGAGGCAGUGGGUUGCCAUGGGCAUAACUCUUCUUGUUUUCAGAAUCAUUCAACAAUUCCAUUUGCCUCAUCCUAGGGAGCACUAGAGAAUUAGUAAAUUUACCACUAGGGAGCACGUAUACUUCUUAUUAGUGGCAAGAUGACUAAAAUAAUUAGGUGCAGAUCAGUCGAGUGCAAAGGCCUCUACCUAGCAGCAUU
rnacentral:lncRNA from 1 species